rnacentral:rRNA from 1 species
CAGUAGCCACGGUAAUACGAAGGGUGCAAGCGUUAAUCGGAAUUACUGGGCGUAAAGCGUGCGUAGGCGGUUUGUUAAGUCUGUUGUGAAAUCCCCGGGCUCAACCUGGGAAUGGCAAUGGAUACUGGCAAGCUAGAGUGUGUCAGAGGAUGGUGGAAUUCCCGGUGUAGCGGUGAAAUGCGUAGAGAUCGGGAGGAACAUCAGUGGCGAAGGCGGCCAUCUGGGACAACACUGACGCUGAGGCACGAAAGCGUGGGGAGCAAACAGGAUUAGAUACCCCUGUAGUCCCUGUCUCUUAUAC